UGUAGGCGCCUCAGGAACUGGCC
rnacentral:piRNA from 1 species